rnacentral:rRNA from 2 species
AGAGAUCGGAACGCUAGUUUCGAUGGAGGCAUUGGUGGGAUACUACCCUAGCUGUAUGAACACUCUAACCCGCGCCACUAAUCGUGGCGGGAGACAGUGUCAGGGAGGCAGCUUGACUGGGGCGGGGGCCUCCCACAACAUCCAGCAGGGCGCCCAAAAGUUCCUCCGACAUGGUGGGAAAUAUUUUUAGAGGGAGAAAGUGUAAAGGAGGGAUACUCUGGGGCAUAAAAAACGAGCAGGGACGAAAGUCGGGCUUAGUGAUCCGGUGGUUCCGUAUGGAAGGGCCAUCGCUCAACGGAUAAAAGCUACCCUGGGGAUAACAGGCUUAUCUCCCCCAAGAGUCCACAUCGACGGGGAGGUUUGGCACCUCGAUGUCGGCUCAUCGCAUCCUGGGGCUGUAGUCGGUCCCAAGGGUUGGGCUGUUCGCCCAUUAAAGCGGUACGCGAGCUGGGUUCAGAACGUCGUGAGACAGUUCGGUCCCUAUCCGUCGCGGGCGCAGGAAAUUUGAGAGGAGCUGUCCUUAGUACGAGAGGACCGGGAUGGACGUUCCGCUGGUGUACCAGUUGUGCCGCCAGGCGCAUCGCUGGGUAGCUAUGAACGGAAGGGAUAAACGCUGAAAGCAUCUAAGUGUGAAGCCCCCCUCGAGAUGAGAUUUCCCAUUCCUAUAUGGAAGUAAGACCCCUGAAAGAUGAUCAGGUAGAUAGGCUGGAAGUGGAAGUGCAGCGAUGCAUGGAGCGGACCAGUACUAAUCGGUCGAGGACUUAACCAAG